rnacentral:lncRNA from 10 species
CACAGCUGGGAGGAGGCAGGGCUGGGGCUAGAACUCGCAGAUUCCGGCUUUGAGCCUAGCAAACACUCUGCAGUGCCAUACACCGUGGCUGCACUGCCGAGGCCCAGCUACAGGCUCCGAGGUUCCAGUGUCCUCAUGGCGAGAUAUCAUGAGACUGGCUUUAUUGGUGUUACCAUAAGCUGGUGUAGACCGUAACACCAGCCCUCUCAAACCUGGGCUGAGGGUGGCAUAUCAGUCAGGGGCAACUCUUUUGGAAACAUUUUGGCAACACAUAUCAAGGAUAUUUAACUACAAAAUGUAAAUGUCUUGAAAUUUUCUCUGAGGAAAUAUUGAGAAAUUCAGACCAAAAAACUGUGUACAAAGAUGAUUGAUAAAGGGGGUAUUGAAUAGUAAAACAUGGAAGCCAAGAUGUUCUACAAUAGGUGAAUAAAUACAUUAUGAUAUGUCUGUACGAUCAUAGGACACAGUCAUUUAAAGUGGUCUUUUUGAAGAAUGUUUAUGCAAAGGAAAAGAAACGAAAGUGAAAAAAGGAGGCUGCAAAGCGUACGAGCCCACUCUUAGGAAGCAUGUAUAGAGGAAUGAAUGACAUAGCUACAUAGAAACAUGAUGGCCAUCAACCACGCCCAUCUGUGGCAGGGAGAGCAAGACCCUGACCCCAUCCCCUGCUCUCCUGAGGAUGGUAGGGAUGCCACAAGCCCAUUUAGUGUUUCAGAGGGUAGAGGUGAGGCUGGGAACCUGGGAAGAGCCUGGCGAAAGGUUGACGGGGAGAGGGCAAGAGAGCAGGAUGUUUGUGUUCACCAAUGACAGUGGCCAUGGUCCCAUGGUAGGUCAGUGGCCCAGAAAGUAUCAGAGACCAUGGAUUAAGAAUCAGACCACUGUGCACUCGGGAGGCCGAGGGGAUGUCAUGCAUGGGCAGCUCUGUUCUGGGAAAGAAAUCUUCUCCCUGUCUCAACGUCCGGGCCUCUUCCACCAACCAUCUGGCUGUUCCACAAUCUCCUCCACCCAGGACAUGGACACUUAUCCCCACCCCAGGACAUGGGACACCUU